rnacentral:ncRNA from 2 species
UGAAUACAUACGCUUUAUGGUGUGAACCGGGUAGUCUCUUGUACCCGGCCACUUAAAAGGGAAGUUCGGUGAAAAUCCGACGCGGUCCCGCCACUGUAAAGGGGAGUGUCCUUGCUGGUAUCCACUGUUUCGCGGUCUAAACGCGAGAUGGGAAGGGAGCAAGGCGUGAUGAUCCCAAGCCAGGAGACCUGCCAGAAAGCAUACACGAUC